UGCAGCCCUGUCAAAUUCAGUACUCACCCCUGCCCUGGUCGGCUGCCACAGCAACAUCUGUAGUUCAUGGGCCCCACAUCUCUACCACUGGGUGCUGGGGAUACAAAUAUGCUACAGCCUGUG